UUGACUGCAUGGAAGUCGUGGGAGACUUUGGGAGUUAUAUGGCGUCCUUUUUGCCUUGUGUGAGGGAAACUGAUCGUGAGAGAUACCAAAAACAUCAUGAAGAUGCUUGGGACA
rnacentral:ribozyme from 1 species